CCAUUUGCAGUUGCAAUCCGUCUGAAAAAACAUAAUAGUUACAACUUUCAACAACGGAUCUCUUGGUUCUGGCAUCGAUGAAGAACGCAGCGAAAUGCGAUAAGUAGUGUGAAUUGCAGAAUUCAGUGAAUCAUCGAAUCUUUGAACGCACAUUGCGCCCCUUGGUAUUCCAUGGGGCAUGCCUGUUCGAGCGUCAUUUGUACCUUCAAGCUCUGCUUGGUGUUGGGUGUUUGUCUCGCCUCUGCGUGUAGACUCGCCUCAAAACAAUUGGCAGCCGGCGUAUUGAUUUCGGAGCGCAGUACAUCUCGCGCUUUGCACUCAGAACGACGACGUCCAAAAGUACAUUUUUACACUCUUGACCUCGGAUCAGGUAGGGAUACCCGCUGAACUUA
rnacentral:rRNA from 1 species